UACGUAGGGUGCAAGCGUUGUCCGGAAUUAUUGGGCGUAAAGAGCUCGUAGGCGGUUUGUCGCGUCUGCUGUGAAAACCCGAGGCUCAACCUCGGGCCUGCAGUGGGUACGGGCAGACUAGAGUGCGGUAGGGGAGAUUGGAAUUCCUGGUGUAGCGGUGGAAUGCGCAGAUAUCAGGAGGAACACCAAUGGCGAAGGCGGAUCUCUGGGCCGUAACUGACGCUGAGGAGCGAAAGCAUGGGGAGCGAACAGG
rnacentral:rRNA from 1 species